rnacentral:rRNA from 1 species
UACAGAGGUCUCAAGCGUUGUUCGGAUUCAUUGGGCGUAAAGGGUGCGUAGGCGGCGCCGUAAGUGGGGUGUGAAAUUUCGGAGCUUAACUCCGAAACUGCAUUCCAUACUGCGGUGCUUGAGGACUGGAGAGGAGACUGGAAUUCAUGGUGUAGCAGUGAAAUGCGUAGAGAUCAUGAGGAAGACCAGUGGCGAAGGCGGGUCUCUGGACAGUUCUUGACGCUGAGGCACGAAGGCCAGGGGAGCAAACAGG